rnacentral:rRNA from 1 species
AUGCCAAAUCCUUACAUACCACAUUCAUCUCCCUACUCCCCCUACCAAUACACACCGGCAGAGGAGGCCAUUAGCAAGCGAUCAGCAGAGGUAGCUAGUGGUGAUAAGAAGAGUUGGCACGAUGGCGGGCGCGCUCUUUUGCUCGCUGUCCUCGUCCUGACAGCGCAGCUGUGCGGGUGCAUGGCGUACGUCGGCGUCGGCGGCGGGUUUAGCGUGGAGUUCAUCCACCGGGACUCUGCCAAGUCGCCGUUCCACGACCCGUCGCUGACCUCGUACGACCGCGUGCUCGCCGCCGUGCGGCGCUCCACGGCUCGCUCGUCCGGCUCUCCUGGCGGCGCCGUGUCGGAGGUGGUGUCCGCUCCGUUCGAGUACCUGAUGUACGUCAACGUGGGCACGCCGCGCACCCGGAUGCUCGCCCUCGUCGACACCGGCAGCGACGUCGUGUGGUUCAAAUGCAGCAACGGGACCGCCGGCCCUCCGCCGGGCGCGCCGCUGAGCGCCGUCUUCGACCCGUCCUCCUCGUCCUCCUACGGCCUCGUGGGCUGCCGGUCCGACCCGUGCCGCGCGAUCUACGGCACGUCCUGCGGCGCCGACUCCUUCUGCCGGUACCGCUCCACGUACUCGGACGGGUCAACGACGGCCGGCAUCCUCUCCACCGAGACCUUCACCUUCGACGACGCUCCCGGCGGCUGCGUCGGAUGCCGCGAUCGCCCGCAGCUGCAAGUGGCCAGGGUCAGCUUCGGCUGCGCAUCGAGCGUGACCGGCAAGGCGUUCCGCCUGACCGGAAACGUCGGCCUCGGCGCCGGGAGCGGCUCCCUCGUGAACCAGAUCGGCGCCGCGACGUCGCUCGGGCGGAGGUUCUCGUACUGCCUCGCGCCCUUCUUCGUCAACUCCUCCUCCAUCCUCAGCUUCGGCGGCCGCGCCGCCGUGACGGAGCCGGGCGUGACCACGCCGCUGGUCCCCUCCGCGGUGGACGCCUUCUACACGGUCCUGCUCGCGUCCGUCAAGAUCGGGAACUCGACCGUCGUGCCGCCGAGGCGGUCCCCCGUGAUCGUCGACUCCGGGACGGUGCUGACGUACCUCGACAAGGGGCUGCUGGACCAGGUGGUGGCGGAGGUCGCCCGGCGCAUCAAUCUCCCGCGGAAGCAGUCGCCGGAGAAGCUGGUGGAUCUGUGCUACGACGUGGCCGGCGAGACCGAGGCUUGGGCGAAGCUUCUCCCGGAGGUGACGCUGGGGUUUGGCGGCGGCGCCGCGAUCACCCUGCCGGCGCGGAACGCGUUCGUGGAGGCGCGGAAGGGGACCGUGUGCUUGGCGAUGUCGGCGGUGACGGAUGAUGGGCCGGCGGUGGCGACGAUCGGGAGCAUCGCGCAGCAGGACUUUCACGUCGGCUUCGACCUGGACAAGCGCGCCAUCACCUUCGCCGCUGCCGACUGCGCGAGCUCCUACUCCUCUUCUACCACCUCAGUCUCUUUGUAG